GUACAGUUUUAACAAGAUACUCGGUGGGAGGAAUUCCGUGUGCUUUUGGGGAAGAGUUCUGUCUCCUUCCAGCAGACGGAAAAAAUGACGCCACUAUUUUGUAAAAGUCACCCUUGUUUCUGUGUUGUCUGUCCCACAAGGAGACAGACCCCUUCACAGAGCAGGGAAAUACAAAUGCGAAAUCUUGAUGCGAGCGCUUCAGAAUCUGCAAAAGAGAAAGCCGAAGACACAAAGGGAGCUGUUUCCCGGGCAACAGACAUGUCUUCAAGCUCACCAGAUGGGACAGAGAGGAUAGCGGCUGGGCAGAGUGCGAGGUGGAUUGAAUCCAGCCCAGGAAGGUCAUUACCCUCUUGCUCAACUGUAGAUAAGUGGACUUUGGAAACAGAUGGUGCCAUCUGCAACCCAAAUUAUAGGAGGCAGAUUCAAUGGAGAGGGACAACCAGAGAGAGGAAUUUCAUGACAACAGUCAAAAGGCCAGCUUUAAAGAAGCACUGCCCUAAGCCCUUCCGGACGUUUCUGAAGUGUACCAAACAUUGACCAUUGUUUCUUCGAACUUAGACAUCGUCUUUCGAGGCAAAACUCUCUUGGCCUUUUGGUGGGUAGUGAACCUGCAACUAUCCUGGGGCUGAGACGGCUAUUCUUUAUGCAAACACACUUCCUCUGCUAGGCUUCUCUCCCAGCCCACUUGCUGCCUCCUGACUGAGUUCUAGUGAAUGUAUGAUGGGGGAC